CGCAGGAUACCGCAGUUGGUUUCAGUGGAAGUGCCCGGAGCUGCCACCCGUGGUCCCGCGGCCCCCCGGCCUGACCUCCGGGACACUGGACGGAUGCCUAAGUGUGGGUGACAGGAGCGGAAAGGACCGCGGAGGCUGCCAGGAGAAGCGGACUGGCCAUCAG